rnacentral:rRNA from 1 species
UCCGUAGGUGAACCUGCGGAAGGAUCAUUAUUGAAUUAACUUGUCGGGUUGUAGCUGGCUUCUAGGAGCAUGUGCACACCCUUCAUCGUUUUUCCACCUGUGCACAUUUUGUAGUCCUGGAUACCUCUCGAGGCAACUCGGAUUGAGGGCUUGCAGUGCGAAAGCCGGCUUGCCCUUACAUUUCCAGGACUAUGUUUUCAUACACCCCAAUAGAAUGUUAUAGAAUGUCAUUUAUGGGCUUCACAGCCUUUAAACUUAUACAACUUUCAACAACGGAUCUCUUGGCUCUCGCAUCGAUGAAGAACGCAGCGAAAUGCGAUAAGUAAUGUGAAUUGCAGAAUUCAGUGAAUCAUCGAAUCUUUGAACGCACCUUGCGCCCCUUGGUAUUCCGAGGGGCACGCCUGUUUGAGUGUCAUUAAAUUCUCAACCUUGCCAGCUUUCACAAGUUGGUGUAGGCUUGGAUGUGGGGGUUGCCGGCUUCUUCAGAGGUCGGCUCUCCUUAAAUGCAUUAGCGGAACCUUUGUGGACCGUCUCUGGUGUGAUAAUUAUCUACGCCAUUGCCGUGAAGCAGCUUUACAUGGGGUUCAGCUCAUAACCGUCCAUUGGCUUGGACAACUCUUGACAUUUUGACCUCAAAUCAGGCGGGACUACCCGCUGAACUUAAGCAUACA